GUAUUUAUCUCUGGGUGGGGAGGUGUGGGUUUGGGUUUAGCCCGCGGGUGUGUGUCUGUGUGGGUUUGUUUGUGUGUUUCUCUCCCAGGGUGUCCACAGUUCCGGGCAGGGUCUGUCCCUCCCUGUGAGUGAUGGCGACGGCAGGAGACCUGAGGAGGCACGUAGGGUCUUAGCUCCCUGACCAGGAAUCGAACCAGCAUCCCCUGCGUUGGGAAGCGAAGUCUUACCCACCGGACCACCGGAGAAGUCCCCCAGAAAGCCGCUCAGCCUGCAUCCACUGCCUCUGUUCACAGCCCAGGGCUCCGCGGUGCCCGAGGCAGACAUUUCUGGCUCUUUCACUCCGGCCCCUCCCCCAUUCCCCCUGUCUCUGGUCAGACUGGAUUCCUCUGAAUCCGUCUGGCUCCCAGAACUGGCUGCAUUUCCCCACCUUGGGCACCUUUGUCCUCGCUGUUCCCUCUCUCUGUUCUCCUUCCCCUAGUCUGGCUGCCUUGCCCAACUCCAGGGGGACCCCUCCAUGGAGAUUUCUGUCCUCAGAGUCCUCUGCUGCACAACCCAAGAAUUCAGUGCCGCCUGGAGUUGAGCCAGGCAGCUCCUCCUCCCAAUCAGGCCCCCUCCCUGGCAACCCCAUCUCCAACUCCAUCUGAUUUAACCCUCCCCUUCGAAGUCUCGUGGGACUUUGCUCCCGCUCUGGCUUUAUCGGAGGACCGCUCUGUGUAUCUU
ensembl:lncRNA